GGGGACCGCAUGUACCAGGAAUGGGUAUGGGAAGCCUUCGAUGCCAUUCGCAAGAGUUGUCGUACGGGCUCCGGCUUCAGCUCGAUUAGCAACGUAAAUGAUCCGACUGGUGGCAGGAAGCUGGAUUUCCAAGAGAGCUUCCUUUUCGCUGAGGUGUUGAAAUAUGCUUACUUGACGUUUGCUCCGGAAGAAAAUUGGCAAGUAGUUGGUGA
rnacentral:sRNA from 1 species